CGCGCGCGACCGGCAGGGGGCGCCGGGCUCCCGGCGGGGUUAGGGCAGAGCGGGGCGGGGCGUCGUGGCGUGCACCUGCGCUUCCAGCGGCUGCCGCAGUCGCUCCCCGAACCUCGACCUUCCCCGGCCGUUCAGCCAUUGCCCCCAGCACUGUUCUUCUUUGGGCGCGGGCCCCGGUGUCUCUGAGGGAGGGCGAGUGGCCGCCUCGGGCCUGGCUCGGACUGCCGGCCGGGCGGGGAGGCCCUGGGAGCUCUGGACAGAGGGCGAGGAACCUUCUAGAAAACGGCCGCAGGGAGGGUUGGAAGGCCCAGCAUCCUGCGGGUGAACUUGACUUGGAUCAUUUCUUGCUGUGCCUCUGGAAAUGAUGAGCAAAACGUGAACUAUGUGCGGAGGUUGACAGAUGGCCCCCGAAAAGUGCAAUGUUGUAACGAAGCGCUGUGAGGAACAGUCUCCGCUGUCCCGCUGUGCGAGCUGCUCUAUUACAAUAUAUCCCCCGAGCUUCCUUCCUGGUCUGCAAAUUCAUUUUGUAGGCUCCAAGCCCAGCCUGGAGACUAAUGCAGGGCUUUGAACUCACGACCCUGAGAUCAAGGCUGGAGCUGAAAUCAAGAGUCAGAUGCUUAACCGACUGAGCCCCCCAGGUACCUCCCAAUGCUCUAUUUUGAAUUCAUUUUGUAUAAUGGAUUGAAGUACCGACCAAAGUGGAGGUUUACUCCCGCCCCCCAUACGUGGAUUCCAGCUGUUCUACCACCAUCUGUGAAAAAGACACUUCCUUUUCCACUGAUCUGCCCUUUUGUGGAAAAUUGACCACAUGUGUGAAGAUCUAUUUUUGGACUCUUCUGUUCCAUUGAUCUGUGUAUCUUUAAUCUUUCAGUCCAGGAUUUUGUGUGUUUUUUCUGUAAAGCGCCUGGUAGCACAUUUUUUAGGUUCUGCAUGCCAAGAGGCAACAUUCAGGACAUCAUACAGAUACUUGUUAUAUAAGACACAAGUUUCCACAAAAAUUUUAUUAGUGACAUUUGUAUAAUUGAAAAUGUAUAUUUUUUGCAAUAUGUAUCUACUAAUGAGAAAAAUGAAGUUCUUUUUUUUUUAUGGGAUAACAUAUUGCUUUGCUGGGGUUCAAAGGCAGCAUCCCCUACCAUCAAAAUUUAUUGUAAACCUUCGUCUGUUAAAACUGACUUGUAAUAAGAUUUUGUGUGUUUCACCAUGAAUAUGAUUUCAAUGGAGUGUAUUCAUGGCUUGAAUGGCAUUUAUAGAAUUCGGUUAGAUUCCUCUCUUGAUAUUUGCCUUUUAGUAUGUCAUUACAUUAUAGAUUAAUCGCCACCAAUUGAAGGUGAGGUAGAAACUCCUCAAACGCAGUUAAAUGGAUUUUGAAAUAUGAGGAUUUCCUUUGUACUUACACAUCGAGUAAAAAUGUGGAAAAAAUGCUGCUGGAACUGUAGUCUGAGCUUGGAAGAUAUAUCUGCUGUGAAUUUGUGUGGGAAUGGAGAUUUCAUUUCUUGUUUUAUCUUUUGAUAGCAUGCGAAGUGCUUACAAUGGUUUGCGAUUACUUGUGAUUCAAACAAUGUUGGCUGUGAUCUAAAUGACUGUACUGCAGUGUAAGCUUCACACAUGAGCGCUGUAAAAGCUAACUUCAAAGCUAUUCAUUGUUCAGUAACAGUGGUUGAGGGCAGAUCUUCCAACCAUUAAAAGGAGUCAAAACCAAUUUUAACUUUGUAGGCUGGGCUGUAGUGGGUUGAAUUUGGCCCAUGGGCCAUAGUUGGCUUGUCUGUGGUUCAGCUAAUAUUAUAUUGUCAUGAUUAGUGU